UCUGUCAACGGUAAGCGGACAGAAUGAAGCUGUAAGCGAAAUGAAGGAGCAUUAAGGAGUUGACAGACUUACUAUG
rnacentral:sRNA from 13 species